UACGGGGGGGGCAAGCGUUGUUCGGAAUUACUGGGCGUAAAGGGCUCGUAGGCGGCCAACUAAGUCGGAUGUGAAAUCCCCAGGCUCAACCUGGGAACUGCACCCGAUACUGGAUGGCUUGAAUCCGGGAGAGGGAUGCAGAAUUCCAGGUGUAGCGGUGAAAUGCGUAGAUAUCUGGAGGAAUACCGGUGGCGAAGGCGGCAUCCUGGACCGGCAUUGACGCUGAGGCGCGAAAGCUAGGGGAGCAAACGGG
rnacentral:rRNA from 1 species